rnacentral:piRNA from 1 species
UAUAUCAAGCACAUAUGGGGUCUCCUACAGC